UACGUAGGGUGCAAGCGUUAAUCGGAAUUACUGGGCGUAAAGCGUGCGCAGGCGGUGAUGUAAGACAGGUGUGAAAUCCCCGGGCUUAACCUGGGAACUGCAUUUGUGACUGCAUCGCUGGAGUGCGGCAGAGGGGGAUGGAAUUCCGCGUGUAGCAGUGAAAUGCGUAGAUAUGCGGAGGAACACCGAUGACGAAGGCAAUCCCCUGGGCCUGCACUGACGCUCAUGCACGAAAGCGUGGGGAGCAAACAGG
rnacentral:rRNA from 1 species